rnacentral:sRNA from 1 species
AAAGUGAGAGGAUUGUCACAGUGUAUCAGUCUGGCAGCUAAUGGAUACCCUCAGGGUGGGAGAGCCUCUCCCCAUGAGCCAAGCUCAGCCCCUCCAUCCUCAGGUGAACGUUGUAAGAAGGUGCACUGUGGCCCGAGGCUCCUUCAGUGAAGCCGGCGUCUGUAUGCUCACAGUGCACCAGGCCCUGUGCAGGGACACGGGACGCAAAGGUGAAUGCUAUGCCUCCCCUCAGAGAUGUGGACUCCUCAAACACCAGGAAGAAAUUUAGUAACUAUAACCAGGCAAUGGUGUAAUGGAGUUAGAGGGAUCUCUUGUGGUAGAUACUGAAAGACGGUUUUGGGUGCUGACAAAUCCCUUUGCCUGGUUGUCUGUGCCUCCUGUGACUGGAGGGUCCCCGUGUCUGUCUGCACUGUGCAGCAGGAUGAGACAGAAUCCCAGAGCGCAGUCCCCACAUAAACCCUUCCAUAGAAUUAGGGUUAGGCAUUGGGGGUGAUCACUUUUACAUGUGAUCUAAGUUCUCUAGAUUGUUUUGGUUGUUUAGCAUGGCGUAAAGGACCAUACUCUUGCUCCCCCAGUAGGAUUUGGAGGAAAAUGGGAAACAACUCAAACAAAGGCCCUGGGCAGAGGCAGGGGCUGGGCUGGAGGAUCAGGGAAGGGGGAGGAGAAGCAUGAGAGGCCCUGCAUUGUGCACAGUCUGUGAAGUUCGGGAGGGAGGAGGAAAGCCUGUAAUUUCUUCCUUUCUUCUCCUUUUCUUAGGUUUGGAAAAGGAACCGGGCACCAUUUCUUGGUUCGCGAGCCUUGCUAUGGUUUGAGCUUGCCCUCAGAGGGUUGACGGUGUGGGCGGAUGGCAUUGUUCCACUUAAAGUAGGGCAGCAGUUGGCGAGUGGUUAAUUUAAGAGUCACUGGUCUGACAGAACAACCCAUGCAUCCUCUCCCAUCUGCGUGGGGGAGAGGAGCCAGUGCUGUAUUUACUGUUUGGAUGGGGUCCAUGGAUCCGACCUCAGCAACCGUAUCUGGAGAGGGAGACACAGAGUUCAGGCAGCUUAACCAGGGUUAAAGUAGGGGCAACCUACUUUAGUGAAGUUAGCUUAGGCUGCGCACUUGUCAGCAAGCAUGGGGUUGAUCUUCUCCAAAGUUAGAACUUGGGAUGCAAGGAGAAGUGAUCCAAUGGUGUCUGGCUGAGGGAAGAGCGGGCUCGGCUACACCGCUGUUGGUGCGAGUGGGAACCUGAGGCCCAGGGGAGCUCACCGCGAUUCCAGGUUCCGUGUCUGUGACUGAGGCCAGGUACAACUGAGAGCCUCCCCACUCCACCCCCUGGAACCACGUCUUCAUGACAGGACAUCAAGGAACAAGAGAUAACCUCCCAUGGACAAACUCAGGAGGGUCAAUCCAGACAGCCCCCUUCAGAGACUCUUCAGACGUGGCGGUUCCAGAUUGACAGUUAAAACGAACAAUCACACUUUCCCUUCCACGUGCUCUCAGAGGUAGAAGAGGCCUUUCUCCUUCGUGCAUACCAGAGCCCUCCACUCUUUGUAUAAUGGGCAUGUAGACGCCAUCUUGCUAAGUCUAGCUUAGACACUCACAGAAGUGUCAAAACCAUCCUAUUUCUAGGGAACUUAAAAAUGCAUUCCUCCCUAGUUAAAGCUGAAAAUCAACUCUUUCUUUCACACUUCCCGAUGUAAUUAUUUAAAUCCUCUUACAGGAAAAUGGAGGCCUUCUGAAGAAUGGAGGAGAGCACGAAUACUUUGCAAUACCGAUUGAGAAGGAUGCCGAUGUUUUUUGAUAAAUUAGAUACUGAAAUACAGUGAUGUGAAGAUGUUGCUGUAAAAUUAUAAAAAAGAAAUGCUGUCUUUAACCCCACACUAGGUCCAGCA